CAGGGAGGUGCCUGUUGCUCAAGCUGCAGCCUGGCAGCCGAGGUGGCGGCUACCGCAGAUGCCACAGCUGGUGCCGUCUCCCGUGGAUGCCCAGAGUCACCCGCCAGCUGCCCCACGCCAGUCUCCCCCGUGCCCUGCCACCCGGUCCUGGUGACAGCAUGGCUUCCACUUUCUACACGCAGGCACCCCACACACACUCAGCCCUUUCGGAGGGAGGCAAGUCUGGGUGGCAAACACUCCGUUUCUCUUCACCCGGCCCCUCCUCUCCGCCCCUAAGUCACUGCAAGGGUUGAAAACUGUGUGUGACAGAUGCUCCUUUCUUUCCCUUGAGGCCCCACAGGCCUUCCUGCCACCCGCCUCCUUCCUACCAGUGGGACAAGCCCAGACUUGACCACAUCCCCCCAGGAGGACAGUUCUGCUCCAGCGGGGACCCCAUGCAGCUCAACGCCAGACUGACGUACAACCUGGAGAAGGCAUUGGGAUGCAGAAGCGAGGCACAGAUGCCUAGAUGCAGGGGAAGGAUCCGGUGCCCUAUUUUUAGUGUCAGAUUUCAGCAAAACAAUUCACUUUCAUUUCAUCACACGCACACUGCUGGGUUUUAAAGUAGGUCACAUUUUCUAACCAUAUCAGGAGCUCAGAUCUGUCUUGCCUGAGUAGUGCAGGGUUCCACAGAAUCUUCCACGGAAGAUUUUACUGAUUGAGACAAAGAUCUCAGACUUGCCUUGGCACAGCUUUCUUUCAUCUCUGUUUGACAGGCUUUAGAAUAGGCAGAAUGAAUAGCUGCAGGUAAAUUUACAUUUUAAGGACGAAUGCAAAAAUGUCUAUUCAGUACUAAUAGCAAGGAGAGGUCUAGAAAUUAAAAAUGACAAGCUGAUCUGUUAUUCUAUUAUCAGGUUAUCGCUGAUUAUUAUAAAAAUAGGCCUUGAGUGCCAAUUUCUCCACAGUCCAUCGGGGAAGAAAUAAGUCCUGGCUGGUAGCUGUCCAAUUUAAAUUUUUUGAUCUUUGUUCCCGUUCGACUGGGUAUGUCAGAAUAUGCAAAUCCAGAGUUCGGGGUUGUAUUUUCUGCCCUGUGCCGAGCUGCAAUUUGUAAGUGUUUCUGUCUGCAUUUCUUGCUUUGUGCUCUCGGCCAAAUCUCACAACCCCUCUGUGACUAAAAUACCCUAUUGACUGGAAUGAGCACUGGACGUUCCUCAGCAGAGCUGGCCUGAGGCGAGAUGGUGAACUGGUUCAACGUCUACAGUAGCCCUAGACUCACCCACGCCCCUGGAUCAUCCCACUGCCUCCUCAUUUAGGAAAGGCUGCUCUCCAGUCCCUUGGAACUUGCCACACUCUAAGAUGAGCAUUAUGAUCCCCAUUUAACUGAAGAGGAAACUGACAUGGAGAGAGUUUGCCCGUGGUGACACAAAUUGCACGAGACGGAAUGAGAAUCCAAGCAGAGAUUAUCCAAAUGAAGACCCAAUUCGAACAUCCUGAUCACAUGUUUUAAAUAGACAAGACCCUUGGCUGCCGUUACUGGUCCAUGGACGUGAUGGAAGGGAAAUGGAAGAGAUACCUACUGAGGUUUUGAAAGAAUUGCAUUCCCAAAGAAACCAUAGAUGUGACGUGCAAAAGCCUGUGUCAAAGCAACCUUGGUACCUCCAAAUCUGCAACAGCGGGAAACAGGCAAUGAAAGCCGUGCACCCCCAGAGGGCAUGCUCGCUGCUUCAUGCUCCCUCGAGGGCCACGGAGGAUAAUGGACAUAGAGGUGCCUCCCAGAGGACGGCUGGCUGACCUCUUCUGUGGGAGAAGGCAACCUCCUCUAUUCUUGCUCGGCAGGAUUUGAUAAUUGCUGUAGACUGUGACUGCUUAGGCUUUCCCAUUUUCGGAACGGUAGCUUUAAUUGUGGUUUUCCUGUUCCUACUCCAUCGCCGUGUAUGUAGUGUGGUUGGGGGCAGACAGCUAGUUUUUAAUUGGUGGUUUGCGAGAUCGUGUAACAUCACAUCUGGACUCAAGCAAGGAGACUGCAUGAUACCCGCUGAGCUCGAUUUUGAGCUGAAGGCAGACCCUUGAUAAAAUGUUGGUGUUUCUUCUCUUGGGGAAGGAAUAUGUCCUGUGUGAGGAAAGAAAGGUUCGUACAUAUUUUGGGGAAGUCAAGGGUUGAAAUACGGCAGUGGCUGCUUAAUUGUAUGAAAACAUUUGUUUUCCUUAAUUCUAUAGUAUCAGAAUAUCUCAUAUUUAGGCAGGCACAUACUGCUGGAAAGACUCCACUUCCUAGUCUUCCUGGCUCCCUUCCAAUUAGGUAAGGUCACGCGAUUAAGAUUUGGUCACGUGGAUGUAAGUAGUAGUGUGAGCAACUUCUAGCAAGUGUUCUUAAAGGAAGGAGGAGUUUCUUCCUCCUGGUUGGAAUGGGAUGUGAGGGCUGGAGCUAAAGCAGCUAUUUUGGACCAUGAAGUAGUUUGGGAACUCGAGAUUAUGCAAGGCAGAAAAUUGAGGAAAAGGAAUCUGAGUCCCUGAUACUGGAGGCACUUCACAAUCUGUGGACUCCUUACCCAGGCUUAUUAAAAAGAGAAAUAAACUUUCAUGUUGGUUAA